AGUGAACGCUGGCGGUAGGCCUAACACAUGCAAGUCGAACGGCAGCACAGUAAGAGCUUGCUCUUACGGGUGGCGAGUGGCGGACGGGUGAGGAAUACAUCGGAAUCUACUUUUUCGUGGGGGAUAACGUAGGGAAACUUACGCUAAUACCGCAUACGACCUACGGGUGAAAGCAGGGGAUCUUCGGACCUUGCGCGAUUGAAUGAGCCGAUGUCGGAUUAGCUAGUUGGCGGGGUAAAGGCCCACCAAGGCGACGAUCCGUAGCUGGUCUGAGAGGGUGAUCAGACACACUGGAACUGAGACACGGUCCAGACUCCUACGGGAGGCAGCAGUGGGGAAUAUUGGACAAUGGGCGCAAGCCUGAUCCAGCCAUACCGCGUGGGUGAAGAAGGCCUUCGGGUUGUAAAGCUCUUUUGUUGGGAAAGAAAAGCAGCAGGUUAAUACCCCGCUGUUCUGACGGUACCCAAAGAAUAAGCACCGGCUAACUUCGUG
rnacentral:rRNA from 1 species